rnacentral:rRNA from 1 species
AUACGUAGGGUGCGAGCGUUGUCCGGAAUUACUGGGCGUAAAGGGCGCGCAGGCGGUAUAUCAAGUCAGCUGUCAAAGCCCGAGGCUUAACCUCGGUUCGUCUUAAAAACUGGCAGACUUGAGUGCAGUAGAGGCAAGUGGAAUUUCUAGUGUAGCGGUUAAAUGCGUAGAUAUUAGAAGGAACACCAGUGGCGAAGGCGGCUUGCUGGGCUGUUACUGACGCUGAGACACGAAAGCGUGGGGAGCAAAUAGGAUUAGAUACCCUAGUAGUCCACGCCGUAAACGAUGAGUACUAAGUGUCGGGUAACCGGUGCUGAAGUUAACACAUUAAGUACUCCGCCUGAGUAGUACGGUCGCAAGGCUGAAACUCAAAUGAAUUGGCGGGG